GAUGAACGCUGGCGGUGUGCCUAAUACAUGCAAGUCGAGCGAACGGACGAGAAUCUUGCUUCUCUGAUGUUAGCUGCGGACGGGUGAGUAACACGUGGAUAACCUACCUAUAUAACUGGGAUAACUUCGGGAAACCGUAGCUAAUACCGGAUAAUAUUUUGAACCGCAUGGUUCAAAAGUGAAAGACGGUCUUGCUGUCACUUAUAGAUGGAUCCGCGCUGCAUUGGCUAGUUGGUAAGCGAACGGCUUACCGAGGCUACGAUGCAUAACCGACCGCAGAGCGAGGACGACUACACGGGAAGUGAGACACGGUCGAGACACCUACGGGAAGAAGCAGUAGGAACUCCUACGCAAUGCAGGAAAGCCUGAUAGAGCAACGCCGCGUGAGUGAUGAAGGACUUAGGAUCGUAAAACUAUGUUAUAAGGGAAGAACAUAUGUGUAAGUAACAGUGAACAUCAUGACGGUACCUAAUCAGAAAGCCACGGCUAACUACGUG
rnacentral:rRNA from 1 species